UCGUCCUACGGGACGCAGCAGUGGGGAAUAUUGCACAAUGGGGGAAACCCUGAUGCAGCGACGCCGCGUGAGUGAAGAAGUAUUUCGGUAUGUAAAGCUCUAUCAGCAGGGAAGAAGAAAGACGGUACCUGACUAAGAAGCCCCGGCUAACUACGUGCCAGCAGCCGCGGUAAUACGUAGGGGGCAAGCGUUAUCCGGAUUUACUGGGUGUAAAGGGAGCGUAGGCGGCAGGGCAAGCCUGAUGUGAAAGCCCGGGGCUCAACCCCGGGACUGCAUUGGGAACUGCCCUGCUGGAGUGCCGGGGG
rnacentral:rRNA from 1 species